rnacentral:lncRNA from 1 species
UGUUAUUUAUUAAAAUAAAUAGGGGGAUGUAUUUUUUUCCUCCUCCCUUUGCAUCAACCACAGUAAGGGUAAUGUAAUUUUGAUUUGUGAUAAGUGUAGGAAGUAUUUUUUUUCUCGCGAUCUUUUUUGGUAUUCCCAAAAAAAAGGUUUAUACACAAGCUCAUCACGGAAGUGCUACACCCGUAGGAGCACUCUCUCGUAUUUACACGGUACAUCGGUUGGUUGGCACGAACCGUACGAAACGGAAAAAAACGAGAAAAGUGAGGGGGUAAAGUGCAAAAAAAAGAAGAAGAAAGGAUCUCUAGCUUCCUACGCCCACACGGGGAGGCCACCCGGAGACGGUGGCGCGUAGCCGGCGCGGGCGGCGCGCUCGAACGGCGGGGAAUCUUCCCUCCUCUUCCUCCUAAGUCCGCGGCGCCAGCGGCGCGCGUGGGUCGGCGGCGNNN